rnacentral:rRNA from 1 species
GACGAACGCUGGCGGCGUGCUUAACACAUGCAAGUCGAACGGAAAGGCCCUGCUUUUGUGGGGUGCUCGAGUGGCGAACGGGUGAGUAACACGUGAGUAACCUGCCCUUGACUUUGGGAUAACUUCAGGAAACUGGGGCUAAUACCGGAUAGGAGCUCCUGCUGCAUGGUGGGGGUUGGAAAGUUUCGGCGGUUGGGGAUGGACUCGCGGCUUAUCCGCUUGUUGGUGGGGUAGUGGCUUACCAAGGCUUUGACGGGUAGCCGGCCUGAGAGGGUGACCGGGGACAUGGGGACUGAGAUACGGCGCAGACGGCUACGGGAGGCAGCAGUGGGGAAUAUGGCAGAAUGGGGGGAAGCCUGAUGCAGCAACGCUGCGUGCGGGAUGACGGCCUUCGGGUGGUAAACCGCUGUCGCCUGUGACGAAGCGUGAGUGACGGUAAUGGGUAAAGAAGCACCGGCUAACUACGUG